GUCCAAUCACUUCUUUCUCAUAAGCUCCCUGAAGAUGCUGCAGAUGAUGCUUCUGGCUUGGAAAAUGCCUUUCGAGGACCAUUGCUCUUUUGCAGGGAAUUGUUACAUAUGAUAUUGUGAACUCCAAAAAUAGUGUCCUAAUGUAUACAGUCUUUCUAAAGGAAUUAUGUGUUCAUAUAACUAUGCCAGGCCUCCUACGUUCAAAGAAAGGCCACUCAUUUUUGAACAUAUCAUCAAAAUGACUUUCUGGCCUGGCUCGCUUCAGGAUAGGGCAUCUUAUCCUGAGAGAGACAGGCCAAACCCACAAUGGCAAUUUUAUAAGGAGUGAAAUCACGCUGACAGCAGGCAGUUUCUUUCAAGCAGAAAAGCGGUGUCACACUCAAUUAGUUGGGUGAAACUGUAGAGAAGGAAACCAGGUGAAUAGCUGUGUUACGAAAUGAGUUGUUUGGUUUUUUUUUCCUUGUAGUUCAACAGAUACACCCUUGGAGAGGCUACCCUAAAGAUGUCAAUCAGAAAGCGGAUUGCAGAGAAUACGAGGGGCUGGAGUGAAAAUGGCAAAGGAAGCAUCGAGGGAAGAGAGAGAAAUUUCUCAAUUAUGUAUUUACAGCGCGAUGGCCGCAUUUUUUAAGUAACUCCCAAAGACACAGGUAUCGUAAGAUUUACUUUACACUUUUUUUUCUAUUUCUUUAUUUGCUUCGAGGUUCCAAUCCCUUCCAGCUUGCCUUUCUUUUCUUGCUUGAUUGGAAAGAAAACAGUGGCACAUUAGAGAUGGACACCUUUGGAAGGCUGUGUAAGCGAGUGACCCUGAGAUACAGAGACCGGAGCGAGCAGAUGGUCACAUCACAGGCCGCUUUCCAGAGUGUUGAUGAAUAUAACAGGCGCUGAUUUUACUCUAUUCUGUGUUGGACUCUUAACUCUCUGAGAAAACUUUGACCUGCCUUCCAAGAAGGGCGAUAGUGUCUCGGAAGCACGGCCCUUGUGGUUUCAGGCUCCUUCUGGGCCCCGCCUCACACUGUUUGUGGUGGGGGAGGUAGGGAGGUGUCUCAAAAUCUGAUGCCUUGAACAGCUGCAUCAGAAUUGCUUGGGAGUUUGGUUUAAAUGCAAAUUUGGGGACUUACAGCAAUUAAAAGGCAGUCUCUGGCUUUGAGCCCCAGAAUGUAGCUUUUUAACCGUCUCCUUGAUGACUUGUGUGGUUGAACAACUGCUGCUUUACCAGCACUGUUGCAUGAGUGUAAUGAUACCUCUUCAUGUUCCUGCUCUUUGCUCAUGACCAAGCUAGUAUCACUUAUUUUCUAGUUAAUGUCAUUAUGUAACUAUAAAAUUCUCCUAAUAUAACAUAUAUGAAUGUACGUGAUAUAGCUUAUAAAUAACUUUAAAAGAAAAAAAAAAGACUGAUAAAGGUUAAAUUCUCACAUUUCAUGAUAAACUGUGAGUAGGUUUUAAAUAUCCAACAGCAGCACUGCCCUGGGGGCGCCAACCUUAGCAUAAAACUGGAUUGACAGACCCUCCAUUAGAUACAAAGUUCUCCUUAGGAUACAAUAGUCAUUUUAUCAUCAGCUCCUUUUAGGCUGCAAAUACAAACUGGCUUAGAACCCAGUCCCCAAAAGAAUCAU
rnacentral:lncRNA from 1 species